rnacentral:lncRNA from 1 species
AUUUAAAUUCAUGUGAAAUCUUAUAUUCCAAAGCAUAAGUCUUUAAUUACUUUAUGAUAAAAAUGCUACCGUACAUUCAGUGAGUUAAACACACACGUAAGUGAUUAAAACAUACCAACUUUAACUAACAACAUUGAGUUAUUAUAAAAUACAUAUGUAAUAAGAUUUAAAAGUGAAGUCAAUUCGGACCAGGAAUGCUUAUUCCCCACUUAGCUUCAUCAAUGGAGUAGAUGACCUCAACGUGACUUAACCAGGACAAGAGCUUCCAUCAUCAUCAUCUUCACUCUCACCGAGACAAACCAAGAUCAAGAACACAAGAUUUUGAGGAAGAUCUAAAGCAAGAAACAUAUUGCUUAUUAUAUUUUCAAACUGGUGUCAACCAACAUAUAUAUACUGUAACAUAGAUAGAUAUACGUACACAGAUUCAAAGAC